GAUGCGAUGGCCGAGCGGUCUAAGGCGAUUGACUAGAACUAGUUAUCUGCUUCGGUAGACUACUGUGUUGGUAUAUCAAUUCUCUUCGGAGGCGCAGGUUCAAAUCCUGCUCGCAUCG